UACGGAGGGGGCUAGCGUUGUUCGGAAUUACUGGGCGUAAAGCGCACGUAGGCGGAUUGGAAAGUUGGGGGUGAAAUCCCAGGGCUCAACCCUGGAACUGCCUUCAAAACUCCCAGUCUGGAGGUCGAGAGAGGUGAGUGGAAUUCCGAGUGUAGAGGUGAAAAUUCGUAGAUAUUCGCAAGAACACCAGUGGCGAAGGCGGCUCACUGGCCCGAUACUGACGCUGAGGCACGAAAGCGUGGGGAGCAAACAGG
rnacentral:rRNA from 1 species